rnacentral:rRNA from 1 species
UGGGGAAUUUUGGACAAUGGGCGAAAGCCUGAUCCAGCAAUGCCGCGUGUGUGAAGAAGGCCUUCGGGUUGUAAAGCACUUUUGUCCGGAAAGAAAUCCUUGGCUCUAAUACAGUCGGGGGAUGACGGUACCGGAAGAAUAAGCACCGGCUAACUACGUGCCAGCAGCCGCGGUAAUACNUAGGGUGCAAGCGUUAAUCGGAAUUACUGGGCGUAAAGCGUGCGCAGGCGGUUUGCUAAGACCGAUGUGAAAUCCCCGGGCUCAACCUGGGAACUGCAUUGGUGACUGGCAGGCUAGAGUAUGGCAGAGGGGGGUUAGAAUUCCACGUGUAGCAGUGAAAUGCGUAGAGAUGUGGAGGAAUACCGAUGGCGAAGGCAGCCCCCUGGGCCAAUACUGACGCUCAUGCACGAAAGCGUGGGGGAGCAAACAGGAUUUAGAUACCCUGGUAGUCCACGCCCUAAACGAUGUCAACUAGUUGUUGGGGGAUUCAUUUUCCUUAGUAACGUAGCUAACGCGUGAAGUUGACCGCCUGGGGAGUACGGUCGCAAGAUUAAAACUCAAAGGAAUUGACGGGGUCAUAGCUG